rnacentral:lncRNA from 10 species
GGUGGCCUUGCUCAAGGGAGCACUGAACUCAUUCACCCUCCCAGCAGUCAAACCAUGACACGCAAGAGCCUCUUACUCAUCCCGAAGUCAUCAGUCAUGUUUCCAAGAGUCCCACUUCUUCCCAUAGAGCCAUGAGAAGACAUCCUUGGUUCACUGGAGGAGGAAACCCUGCAGGAAACACACCUGGGAAAAUAACUCCCAUUUCGAGGCAGAAAUGAUUAUUCUCAGUAUAUUGAUGAGGAAACUGAGGCUUUGGAGGUUACAUAACUCAGGCUAUACCACCCAGCUAGUGAAGGGGGCAGAACAAGAGUUCAGAUCUGAUGGUGUGGUGGCCAUUUCACCAAAUCAUCCUGCCUUAGAAAACCUGCAACAGCCCAGAACAGGCACCUCGACCACCUCACUGCAGACGCUAACCUCAGAUGGUGACCAAAGAGAAAGCCUGACAUGGGAAAAUGACUUGAGAUCAGAGGCUACAUUGAGCUGUAUUGUGCGCCCCACUCCUCCAAAUGUAUAUGUUGAAGUCCUAACCCCCCAGAACCUCAGAAUGCAACUGUAUUUGGAGACAGGGUCUUUAAAGAGGUAAUUAAGUUAACAUGAUGUCAUUGGGGGGGACUAAAUUAAAUGUAACUGGUGUCCUUACAAGAAGUGAUUAGAACCAAACAGACACAGGGGGAAGACCAUGGGCAGACACAGCAAGAUGGCAGCCAUCUCCAAGCCAAAGAGAGAGGACUUAAAAGAAAGGACCCCUGCUGGCCCCUGUCAGUCUUCCAGCCUCCAGAAUUGUGCAAGUAUAAAUUUCUGUUGUUGAAGCCACCUGAUGUACAGUAUUCUCUUCUGACAGCCUCAGCAAACUCAUUCAGAGCCCCUUAAAAAAUCAUCUCUGUCCCCAGUUCCUGCACACAGUAGGCA